rnacentral:rRNA from 1 species
GACGAACGCUGGCGGCGUGCCUAAUACAUGCAAGUAGAACGCUGAAGGAGGAGCUUGCUCUUCUGGAUGAGUUGCGAACGGGUGAGUAACGCGUAGGUAACCUGCCUGGUAGCGGGGGAUAACUAUUGGAAACGAUAGCUAAUACCGCAUAACAGUAGAUGUUGCAUGACAUUUACUUAAAGGGUGCAAUUGCAUCACUACCAGAUGGACCUGCGUUGUAUUAGCUAGUUGGUGGGGUAACGGCUCACCAAGGCGACGAUACAUAGCCGACCUGAGAAGGUGAUCGGCCACACUGGGACUGAGACACGGCCCAGACUCCUACGGGAGGCAGCAGUAGGGAAUCUUCGGCAAUGGACGGAAGUCUGACCGAGCAACGCCGCGUGAGUGAAGAAGGUUUUCGGAUCGUAAAGCUCUGUUGUAAGAGAAGAACGAGUGUGAGAGUGGAAAGUUCACACUGUGACGGUAUCUUACCAGAAAGGGACGGCUAACUACGUG